rnacentral:rRNA from 1 species
UACGUAGGGGGCAAGCGUUAUCCGGAAUUAUUGGGCGUAAAGAGCACGUAGGUGGCAACCUAAGCGCAGGGUUUAAGGCAAUGGCUCAACCAUUGUUCGCCCUGCGAACUGGGAUGCUUGAGUGCAGGAGAGGAAAGCGGAAUUCCUAGUGUAGCGGUGAAAUACGUAGAUAUUAGGAGGAACACCAGUGGCGAAGGCGGCUUUCUGGACUGUAACUGACACUGAGGUACGAAAGCGUGGGGAGCAAACAGG